GCGGGUGUAACUCAGUUGGUAGAGUACUAGCUUCCCAAGCUAGCUGUCGCGAGUUCGAAUCUCGUCGCCCGCUCCA
rnacentral:tRNA from 1 species